UAACGUAGGGUGCAAGCGUUGUCCGGAAUCAUUGGCGUAAAGCGCGCGUAGGUGGCCAUUUAAGUCCGCUGUGAAAGUCAAAGGCUCAACCUUUGAAAGCCGGUGGAUACUGGAUGGCUAGAGUACGGAAGAGGCGAGUGGAAUUCCUGGUGUAGCGGUGGAAUGCGCAGAUAUCAGGAGGAACACCAAUAGCGAAGGCAGCUCGCUGGGACGUUACUGACACUGAGGCGCGAAAGCGUGGGGAGCGAACAG
rnacentral:rRNA from 1 species